CGGACGGGUGAGUAAUGCUUGGGAAUCUAGCUUAUGGAGGGGGAUAACUACGGGAAACUGUAGCUAAUACCGCAUAAUAUUGAAAGAUUAAAGGGUGGGACUUUCGGGCCACCUGCCAUGAGAUGAGCCCAAGUGGGAUUAGGUAGUUGGUUAGGUAAAGGCUGACCAAGCCGACGAUCUCUAGCUGGUCUGAGAGGAUGACCAGCCACACUGGAACUGAGACACGGUCCAG
rnacentral:rRNA from 1 species